rnacentral:rRNA from 1 species
UACGAAGGGGGCUAGCGUUGUUCGGAGUUACUGGGCGUAAAGCGCGCGUAGGCGGUUUGUUAAGUUGGAUGUGAAAUCCCCGGGCUCAACCUGGGAACUGCAUUCAAAACUGACUGACUAGAGUAUGGUAGAGGGUGGUGGAAUUUCCUGUGUAGCGGUGAAAUGCGUAGAUAUAGGAAGGAACACCAGUGGCGAAGGCGACCUCCUGGACUAAUACUGACACUGAGGUGCGAAAGCGUGGGGAGCAAACAGG